rnacentral:rRNA from 1 species
UACGUAGGGGGCAAGCGUUAUCCGGAUUCACUGGGUGUAAAGGGAGCGUAGACGGCCAUGCAAGCCUGGAGUGAAAGCCCGGGGCCCAACCCCGGGACUGCUCUGGGAACUGUGCGGCUGGAGUGCGGGAGGGGCAGGCGGAACUCCUGGUGUAGCGGUGAAAUGCGUAGAUAUCAGGAGGAACACCGGCGGCGAAGGCGGCCUGCUGGACAGUAACUGACGUUGAGGCACGAAAGCGUGGGGAGCAAACAGG